rnacentral:rRNA from 1 species
AUUGAACGCUGGCGGCAGGCUUAACACAUGCAAGUCGAGCGGUAGCACAGGGGAGCUUGCUCCCUGGGUGACGAGCGGCGGACGGGUGAGUAAUGUCUGGGAAACUGCCUGAUGGAGGGGGAUAACUACUGGAAGCGGUAGCUAAUACCGCAUAACGUCGCAAGACCAAAGAGGGGGACCUUCGGGCCUCUUGCCAUCAGAUGUGCCCAGAUGGGAUUAGCUAGUAGGUGGGGUAAUGGCUCACCUAGGCGACGAUCCCUAGCUGGUCUGAGAGGAUGACCAGCCACACUGGAACUGAGACACGGUCCAGACUCCUACGGGAGGCAGCAGUGGGGAAUAUUGCACAAUGGGCGCAAGCCUGAUGCAGCCAUGCCGCGUGUGUGAAGAAGGCCUUCGGGUUGUAAAGCACUUUCAGCGAGGAGGAAGGUGGUGAGCUUAAUACGUUCAUCAAUUGACGUUACUCGCAGAAGAAGCACCGGCUAACUCCGUG